ACCAUCUGAACUGAAACAUCUUAGUAGGAUGAGGAAAAGAAAGUAAAUAACGAUUACGAAAGUAGUGGCGAGCGAAAUCGUAAGAGCCCAAACCUUAUAGAUUUUUAUUUAUAUAAUAAAUAAGCUGAUAGGCGAAUAUCUAUGAGGGGUUGUGAUAUUACAUAUGACCAAGUCAGAGCAUUUGAUUAGUUCAAAUAAUCUGAUUUGCGAUAAUUGUCUAUCAACAAUUAGUAAGGUAAGAAAAUUGCGUGGUUAGCAGAAUAGUUUGAAUGACUAGCCAAAGAACGUGAAAGCCGUGUAAGUUAAAACGACGCUGACCUUAUGUAUGUUUUAUCGAGUAGGGCGGGGCACGAGAAACCCUGUCUGAAUCUGGCUGGACCACCAGCUAAGGCUAAAUAUAAUAUACGAUCGAUAGUGAACUAGUACAGCGAUGGAAAGGUGAAAAGAACCCCGGGAGGGGAGUGAAAUAGAUCCUGAAAUUAUGUGCCUACAAGGAGUCGGAGCAGAUUUAUUCUGUGACGGCGUGCUUUUUGUAGAACGAUCCAGCGAGUUAAUUUCGUGCGCAAGGUUAAGUUAGUUAACGGAGCCACAGUGAAAGCGAGCCUGAAUAGGGCGUUUAGUGUACGGAAUUAGACCCGAAACCGGGUGACCUAACCAUGAGCAGGUUGAAGCUACUGUAACAGGUAGUGGAGGACCGAACCAGGAUACGCAGCAAAGUGUUUGGAUGACUUGUGGUUAGCGGUGAAAUGCCAAUCGAACUCGGAGAUAGCUGGUUCUCCUCGAAAUAGCUUUAGGGCUAGCGUCAUGUUAGUAAUGUAUGGGGGUAGAGCUCUGUAAAGGAUUGGGGCGGGCAACUGUACCCACCCUUAACAAACUACGAAUACCGUAUAUGUAAUCAUGGCAGUUAGAACAUCGGUGCUAAGAUCGGUGCUCAAAAGGGAAACAGCCCAGACCAUCAUCUAAGGUCCCUAAAUAUACAUUAAGUGGGAAACAAGGUGAAAUUUCUUAAACAGCGAGGAUGUUGGCUUAGAAGCAGCCAUUCAUUUAAAGAGUGCGUAACAGCUCACUCGUCAAGAGAUUUUGCGUGGAAAAUGUAACGGGGCUAAAUGUAUUACCGAAGAUAUGGAUUAUUACAUUAGUAAUAGUGGUAGAGGAGCGUUCCUAUCAGCAGUGAAGCAGUAUUGAAAAGUAUUGUGGAGCGGUAGGAAGUGAGAAUGCUGGAAUGAGUAACCAUAAGAGAGGUGAGAAUCCUCUCGGCCGUAAGAGCAAGGUUUCCUGAGCUAUGGUAAUCAUCUCAGGGUUAGUCGGGCCUAAGCCGAGGCGCAUAGCGUAGGCGAUGGACAUCAGGUUGAUAUUCCUGAACCGGCGUAGUUUGUACACUGUUCACGGAGAGAUAUUCAGAGCGGAUUCAUGGUUUAUCCGUCCAACCGAGCGGGAACGCAAAGGGAGUGAAAGUUACUCUGCGGAGUGAUGAUUCUGGAAAAGGCUCUGGCUAGAAAAGCAGGUGUACGCGUGGCUAUGUCCGCCCGUACCGCAAACCAACACAGGUGCUCGAGUCGAGUAGACUCAGGCUUACGAGCGAACCUUCGCUAAGGAACUCGGCAAUACAGCGACCGUAACUUCGGGAUAAGGUCUGCCCCCACUUCGGUGGAUAUCAGCCGCGUUCACUCAGUGAAUAAUAGGUUAAAGAGUACAUUUUUAAUCACAAAACGAAUUUUCUGAGACACGAGCAAACAAAUUGCUCUUUGAACGCGAACCUCUUGUAUCUAACGAUGUGGGGGCCGCAGCAAAAGAGCCCACGGAACUGUUUAUCAAAAACACAGGUCUCUGCUAACACGAAAGUGGAUGUAUAGGGGCUGACUCCUGCCCGGUGCCGGAAGGUUAAGGGGAGUGCUUCACGGUGCAAACUGAAGCCCCGGUGAACGGCGGCGGUAACUAUAACCGUCCUAAGGUAGCGAAAUUCCUUGUCAGGU
rnacentral:rRNA from 1 species